CGUGGUUAGUCGUCGAGUUGUAGAACCGUAGCACAGGAUUUUUCAUAUUAAAUUCACGUAUGGUGCGGUUAGGCUGCAGGAACCUUCCCCUCCCUCCACAUUUCUGGAUCAAAUGGUUUUCAAGUGACUUAAGCAAAAUCUUAAGUUCUUGGGUGCUUAUUUAAAGAUUCCUGUAGCUAGAAGUUAAUAAUUGGGUGUGUAUUUUGAUCCAUUUCUUAAAGGAACACACUAUAGUAUUAGGAAUACAAAUGUGUAUUCUAU